GCCGCGGUGACGGAAUUGGCAUACGUGUCAGGCUUAGAACCUGAUUCCCGCAAGGGAUUGAGAGUUCAAAUCUCUCCCGCGGCA
rnacentral:tRNA from 1 species